rnacentral:rRNA from 1 species
GCAACAGCUCAAAUUUGAAAUCUGGCCUCGGCCCGAGUUGUAAUUUGCAGAGGAUGCUUUUGGUGCGGUGCCUUCCGAGUUCCCUGGAACGGGACGCCACAGAGGGUGAGAGCCCCGUAUGGUCGGACACCAAUCCUGUGUAAAGCUCCUUCGACGAGUCGAGUAGUUUGGGAAUGCUGCUCUAAAUGGGAGGUAAAUCUCUUCUAAAGCUAAAUACCGGCCAGAGACCGAUAGCGCACAAGUAGAGUGAUCGAAAGAUGAAAAGCACCUUGAAAAGGGGGUUAAACAGUACGUGAAAUUGUUGAAAGGGAAGCACUUGUGACCAGACUUGGGCCGGGCGGCUCAUCAGGGGUUCUCCCCUGUGCAUUCCGCCCGGUACAGGCCAGCAUCGGUUCUUACCGGGGGAUAAGAACGGCAGGAACGUGGCUCCCCCUCGGGGGAGUGUUAUAGCCUGCCGUACGAUACCCUGGCGGGGACCGAGGUUCGCGCUUCCGCAAGGAUGCUGGCGUAAUGGUUACUAGUGACCCGUCUUGAAACACGGACCAAGGAGUCGUCCAUUAGAGCGAGCGUUUGGGUGUAAAACCCGCACGCGUAAUGAAAGUGAAAUUAGGUGAGAGCUUCGGCGCAUCAUCGACCGAUCCUGAUGUUCUCGGAUGGAUUUGAGUAAGAGUUUUAACGGACGGACCCGAAAGACAGUGAACUAUGCUUGUAUAGGGUGAAGCCAGAGGAAACUCUGGUGGAGGCU